GAGCUGCUAGGUUGGUGAACACAUGGAGGUGCGGGGAGGGUGGCGAGCCCAGCGAGGACGUGGAUUCCCCACGGCCCUUCCCACAUACCCCGUUCUUUCAUUUGGCUGUUUCUGAGUUGUGUGCUUUAUAAUCAACUGACAAUGCUUGGAGCAGAAGAGAGGAUGGCUGUGGCAGGCUUGGUGCAUGGUGUUAAAGCUGGCUGUGGAGCAUCCUUUUUCAGUCUGCAGUGUAGGGCAUGAGAAAACGCAGCUGACAACAUGAAGCCAUCACAGUGUACUCAGGCUCCAGGACUGAUAACAGCGUGUCUAGAUGGAGUGAGAAAAAACCAACCAAUAAAGGCAGGGGCUUAUGGGUCCUAUGUCCCUUCCUCUUAAAUUUGGGCAGAAUUUGUGACUUCUUUGUCCAACAAAAUAUCGCAGAAGUGAUGCUGUACCAGACUGAAAAAGAGUGGCAGUUUCUAGCUGUGGUAUCUUGGAUCCAAAGAAUCAAUGACCCCAUACAACAGACCCAGUAGAGUUCCCAGGAAACAGCCAGCACCAGCCAUGUUGGUAAGAUAUCUUGAAAAUAGAUACUUCAGCCCACUUGAGCCACCACAGCUCACACCACCUGGAGCACAGUCAAGCCUUUUCUGCUGAGCCCUGCCCAAACUGCAGAUUUGUGAACCAAAUAAAUAAUUGCAAUUGUUUUAAGCCAA
rnacentral:lncRNA from 10 species